GAUGAACGCUGGCGGCGUGCCUAAUACAUGCAAGUCGAGCGAACAGACGAGGAGCUUGCUCCUCAGACGUUAGCGGCGGACGGGUGAGUAACACGUGGAUAACCUACCUAUAAGACUGGGAUAACUUCGGGACACGGGCGCUAAUACCGGAUAAUAACUUGAACCGCAUGGUUCAAUAGAGAAAGACGGUUUUGCUGUAACUUAUAGAUUGAUCUCUUCCGCGUUAGCUAGUUGGUAAGGAAACGGCUUACCAAGGCCACGAUGCGUAGGCGACCUGAGAGGGUGAUCGGCCACAUUGGAACUGAGACACGCUCCAGACUCCUACGGGAGGCAGCAGUAGGGAAUCGUCCGCAAUGGGCGAAAGCCUUACGGAGCAACGCCGCGUGAGUUAUGAAGGUCUUCGGAUCGUAAUACUCUGUUAUUAGGGAAGAACAAAUGUGGAAGUAACUAUGCACGUCUUGACGGUACCUAAUCAGAAAGCCACGGCUAACUACGUG
rnacentral:rRNA from 1 species